CCAGCCUGCAGGCGCCCGGCGCACACACAGGAUGGAGGCUAUUUCCUUUGUUAUGUGGAUGCGUGUGCACGGGUGCCUGUCCCAAAAUCCCACACCGUGGUCCCAAAACCUACAAUUAUUUACAGAUAAAAUUUUUACAUACUCAGCAUGCUGGUACGAAUCCACCAAGUGAUCGGUCAUAAUCUCUGUGCUUGGCCUGUGAAGCAGCACAUGCCUUCUUUUGAGCCUGGGCUGUAAUUGCAGUCAGUGGUCACCAUCUCCCACUGCUGGAAUUACCUUUGACAGUUUCCCCAUAAUUUGGCAGACAUCAGGCAGGUGGUGGCAGCUCGCUGUCUCCACUUCCCAUGAAUCCUACCUCGACUCCUGCUUCCUGUGGUGCAUAUGUCCUGAUCCCGUUCAGGUUGAAGGUGGAGGAGCCGGACAGGCAACAGUGGAUGGCUGGGGUGACCGACCGCGGCGGUGGAACUGCCUUUGGGUGUCCCGACACGGAACGACCUUCCUUGUGAGACU